AAGUUCAUAUGUCAGUACAGGGCUCACUUUCCGUUCUAAUCAGCUGCAACCUCUGAAUUCUUUUUUUCUUAUUAUGCUAAGAUGUACGUCUGGGAGUCAUCAUUUUAAAAAAUAAUGAAAAAAAAGACAGCACCUCAUAACAAAUAAAACUACAUCAUGGAUGUUUGGCACUUUUUAACUUUUUUUUUUUUCCAAAUUAUGUGUUUUUAUUUCUUGAAGUUCAGGCCAUAAGGGUAAAACUCAUAUUUCAAAUUGGAGCAAAGCUUUGAAAUGAUCACCGAUUUAUUGAAAGUAGUGUUUACUUGUUUAUAUGAAAACUGAUCCAUUACGAAGCAGACAAUUUUAAUGACAGUGGCCCCAACCCAGGAAAGCACUGAAGCAUGUGCUUACAUGAAGCUGUAUUCAAUAAAGCAUUUAAGAACAUGCUUAACUUCUAACACGUGGUUAAUUCCCUCUGGCUUCUAGGUAAGCCCAUGCUUUCCUGACUGAAGGGUUUCCCUGAAUACAGCCAGAGAAGACAAACCGAAUGAUUAUUAUGUAAUUUAACUUGACCCUAUGCCAUGAUGUAUGCUACAGAAAUAAAAGAGAGAAACAAUUCCUUGCUAAAAAAUCUGUAAGCACAGCAAUCUGAUUAAUGCUUUGACUACCUAAGAAGUGCAUAGCAAAUGACUCCAGAAAGUCCGUAUGGGCUCCUCUUUAGAAUAAGAUGUUCUAGUCUUUGAUGUGCAUUGCUAGAGCCCCAAAAUCCCACCUAGGCUACAGAAGAGUGUAUCUUUUUAAAUGAGCUCAGUAUUAAUCAGUGAAGUUUUCCCUGCAGAGUAAGUGAUCCUCAGAUAAAGUAUUAAGGCUCUAGGACUAUAGAAGUUCUACUCAUAUGUGUAUUAAUUAUUUAUUGUUGCUGCUGCUGUUAUUAAUUUAUAUUGCGAUAGCACCAAAGGGUCCCAGUCGUGGCCCAGGACCUUGAUUGUGCCAGGCACUGUACAGAUACAGAACAAAAAGACAGUUCCCACCGCAGAGCUCUUACUAUAAGAUAAGAUACAGCAAAUAGAUACAAUGAACAGAUGUAAGGAGUAGAAGGCAACAGUGAGACAGUACUGGUCAGCCUGUUAAGCAGUGGUCCCACCACAACAAAUCCCUAGCUCUUGUUGAGUAUUUUGUAGGCAUCGCAGCAGAGGAGAAUGUUAAGGAGGAGAGUGGAAGGACAAUAAGGUGAGAUUGUGGAUGUUUGUGGUGCCAACUCUUGCAAUCUUAGCAUGAGUUUUGCUAUAUUUGGUGCUUCCUUAAAGCCCUAGCUGCUGGAAUCCUAUUACACGGGAUUCUUAGCAGUCAUUUAAAAAAAGAAAAGGUUUCUAGCCCUCCUGUUUGAAGAGACAAUCAUGAAUCCUAAUAAAGACUUCAAAGCCACAAGAGAAAUAAAAAGACUCCAAAAGUUAUUUUUUAAAAUCUCAAUUUCCCCCCCAAUUUCAUUAUUUUUGAGAGCUGAUAUUCACUGGGAGCUCCUCCCAUCCAUAAAGGGAACAUAGACGAAUUUAUGAAGUAGAAUUUUGGAAAAUUUAACAAAUAGGAAGACAUUUUCCUCUGUAAAUUCUUCUACCUCCUAAUUAAAACAGUCUAUGUGGUUUUCUGCUCCUGGUGCUUUAAUAGGUGAGUUUGUUUAAAUUUUCUCCCUGUUAAAUAAAUAUGACCUAAUUUUCUUGAACCCAAGCAUUUCAUAUCCAAAGUGAAUAAUACCACCUUUUUCAUUCUGAAUUUUUAUCACACACUUUCACUAUAUUAACUUGUUCCCCCAACCUUCGUCCCAGUUUAUCACUGCAAAUUGCCUCACUUCCAUACUCUUCCCUCUAGAUCAUUGAUAUUGAAAGCAGGCAAUGUGUUUCUUAGUGUUCAAUGAUGUGUCACUUCACUGGUCACAUAGUAUACUAGCUAGCAAGAUAACAGUCAGUGUUGCUCUGAAAAGCAUAUAUUUCCAAUGCGUACUAUGUGAAAGCCUGUAGUGGAUUGGCAUGGAUCCAGCCAACGGGGGAGUCAGUGGCAGCAAAGCACAGUCGUGUGCCAAGUGUGGUGGAGGAAGGAAAUGUGUAGUGGUCUGUGUGUUUGUGUUCAAGGAUAUAUUGGAUUUGGACCUAUGUUUCCUAUGGUUCAUCGAUCUGUGGGUAACUUAGCAGGCCACUUGCCCUGCCAAUUGUACAUUGCCGGUGGCCUGCCUUACAGAGAGUCAGUUCCAUCUCUGAAGGCAGUAGUACCUCAAGAAAACAUGACCUAUUUCAAGGUAAAUCCACCCUUCCAUGCAUUUUUAUGUGGGAAGGGAGGAUAUGAUCCACUGUAAUUACUUUUAUGUCUACUAAGUUUGACUACAAAAUAAUCUACCAAAGCUAUAAUUGCUAUCUAAUUAGUGUUUCCAAAUAAAACCUACAUAGUUACCGUACUGCUUGCUGUUUCUUCAUGUCGUAGUAGUAGUCCUUAAACUUUUUUUGAAUGCUCAUCACUUGUUACUAAACAAAGCCUAAAUGCUACAGGCCCUGCCAACAAAACUAUUCCCCUUUUUCACUGUGAAACUGGAUGUGAAAGAAAAAGUUUUAAACUGUGCUGCUUUUAGAAAUAUUAAGGUAGCAUAUAAAUAGAAUACUAAACCUGUUAAGAAAGUUCUGCUCUUGCAUUUACAUGUUCAUUACCAUUUUGGACAAAGGGAGUCUGCAAUUAAUAUUUUCCAUUUCAAAAUGUAACUUUCUUUUUCCUUCAUAUUAGGUUUAUACUAUUUUCCAUGGUGCCGCUGUCCAUAACCAGGAACUCCUCAUUUGCUCGCUGAUCAAUGCAUACAGAGAUGGUAACCCCUAGCUAUUUCUUCAUCUGCAUCAUCCUCACCAGUCACCAGAGUAUGAGGAUGGCCUUCAGGAAAAAGAAGCAAGGAGAUUGCAGGAGUUUCAAUGGCAGAAGUCACCACCUUGGUCCGAUGGACUGCACUGAGGAAUUCUGAGGGCUGAUCCAUAGCUGUGUGGCACAAAUGCUCAUGUCAGUCUAUUAGAACGUGAUAGAAGUACUGAUCACUGCCUCUGCAUCUAAAUCCUUUUGAAACGAGGAUGACCUGCUGAAGAGGAUUUUGAGUGGAAGGCCCUUCACAAGACUCUUUCAAAUCCACAUAAAUAAAGCCCUUUACUGGCUUAAAAUGGCCCCUCAGAUUUAGCACUACAGAGCCCCUAAAAAGCACAACACGAUUGUCAUGGAUAUUACAUGAUGGUAACAACAACAGGCCAAGAAGACAAGUCUCGAUGCUGAACAAAACUAGGCCAGACUUUUUCAUGAUUUGGGAUACAGAUUGCUGACAGCCCAGUAAAUAGGCUGUUUAACCCUUUGAAAGUGAAUAAAGGGUUUGAAGACAAAUGCUUUCUGAUAGACUUUGUGCAUGUAAUGGGCAAAAAAGUAUAGUAUGUUUUCUGGGAUUUUUGGUGCACGAUUAAUAUUUAAAUAUUUGAAUGAUUAGUAGAGAUGUUUUGCUUCUGAAAAACAAUAAACAUAAA